rnacentral:ribozyme from 1 species
UCCUUCUCCAGGCUCGGUCAUUCGAGCACAGACGUGCCGCCGACUUC